AGCACUAUAUAUUGUUGUGGCAUAAAUAGAUAAGGUAUGUUUGUGAAUUCUUUUGGAAGAUCAGAAAGCCAUAUAAGGUAGAUGGAAAAUAUAAAGGAAUGAGAGAAUCAUAUCAUUCUUUUUGUCAAAAAUGGUUCUCUUGUUUCAUAGGAAAUAUUAAGUCAUUUUAUCUUGUAAGAUCGAUCUAAUGUGUCUUUCAUACCUUCAUGACGAAGACUUCGUCACGAGGUCUCAUUGAAACCAUUGGUCGAUGAACAUGAUUUAUUUAUCUAUUAGGUGAUAAUGAUCAACCUUCCAAACCAAGGAUGGAUCUAUAACUGGGGCAGCGGCAUUCAAGAAGAUGCGAGGAAGUGGAUCUUUUAAGAGUUACAAUUGUCGGAGCUCAGAAAACUCCGUAUCAUGAUGGUCUCUUCUUUUUUGAUGUGGCUUUCCCAAAGAAGUAUCCUAAAAGAGAGCCUGUAUAUUAACUUUUUCUUUGAUCUUUUAUACAUCCACACAUUCAAAGAGAUAUAUAUAUAUAUAUAUACAUGUAUAUGUGUGUACUAUAUGUGUAUACAGGUUAACUUAUUUGGCAAGUGUUCUCCUUUUCUUUCGGGAUGUAAAGUAUGACUCCUGUGGUCUCAGAAUUAAUACAAAUUUGCUAGAUUGUGGUGCUGUUAGAUUGGAUUUAUUUAACAAAACUGGCGAUAAUAAGUGGGAGUUCACGGACAUGUGGGUGCCUGGCACUUCGACUAUGCUCCAGCUUCUUGUGUUUUUACAAAAACUCUUGAACGAAAAAACCGUUUUUCAACUAUGGUAGUAGUUUCAGCUGGACAAACACUCUGAAGAAUGAAAUUUCGUCGAUUAUGUACAACGAGUGUAUCUUUGUCAAAUCACUAAAAACAAUGGUUUAUAUCAUGCAUAAGCCACCCCAGAACUUUGAGGAUUUGGUGGUUGGUCAUUUUCGUGAGCGUGCUUGUGACAUCUUAAAGGCAUGUAAAGCAUACAAGGAUGGUUUGCAAGUUGGGUCUAAUGUGAGUGGGGAUGAUUGCAAAUUCGGAGCUAACUCAAUCAUUUUUAUGAAUGAUUUAAAUUCAUGCUUCAAACCUCUUGCAGCCGCUUUUAAUAAAAUUGGAGCAGGGGAGGUAGCUGAUGAGUUUUUUCACCUAUGUUGAAUAAAAAUUGUUUGCCCCUGUAUAAAUCAGUUUAGGUCAAGUUGUUUUCUGAUCUAAGUAGAUUAAAUAUGCAUGUUGAAAUUUUCUUGGGUAAUUGUUUGCUCCUUGGAAAUAUUCUCGAUGUGGAUUAGUUACUCGGGUAUUUACUUAUGAAGUUUAUACAAGUAA